GAUAAGAACGUAGCGAAAUGCGAUAAGUAGUGUGAAUUGCAGAAUUCAGUGAAUCAUCGAAUCUUUGAACGCACAUUGCGCCCUUUGGUAUUCCAAAGGGCAUGCCUGUUCGAGCGUCAUUUGUACCCUCAAGCUUUGCUUGGUGUUGGGCGUCUUGUCUCUAGCUUUGCUGGAGACUCGCCUUAAAGUAAUUGGCAGCCGGCCUACUGGUUUCGGAGCGCAGCACAAGUCGCACUCUCUAUCAGCAAAGGUCUAGCAUCCAUUAAGCCUUUUUUUUCAACUUUUGACCUCGGAUCAGGUAGGGAUACCCGCUGAACUUAAGCAUAUCAAUAAGCGGAGGA
rnacentral:misc_RNA from 1 species